GAGAGAGAGAGAUGUAAACAUUUGAUUUGUGAGAAUUCUAUAUAUACUAUGUUUUAUUUUACAAUGAUGUUUUUCUUUCACAGGGACCUUACCGCCAACGAGGCUCUGUCCAUGCCUUUGUGAGACAGUUUCUGGCCCUUGUUUACAUGCCAGAGGACAAGAUUCCAGCUGUUUUCAACAUACUGAAGGCAAAGACUGCUUAUGUCGAGAGGCGAUGGAUAUUAAGCUACCCCUGGGCCCCAUCAUGUUGGAGCGUGUUUGGACUGGCCACACGCACCAACAACGAUGUAGAAGGUUGGCACAGACGUGUCAACGACAAGGCAUCAGGAGGCAACCUCUGGAUCUACCAUUCCCUUACUGUUUGAGGAGUCACCCCUUCUUCCCCUGCAGAGGCGACUGGUGUCUGAGGGGAAGCUGAGCAGGCAUCAAAAGAAACAGACCCGUACCCACCAGGCAAAGCUCUUCGCGUACACCAAAGGAGAGAUGUCCAGUUACUCCCUCCUCAAACGUUGUUCCAAAUUGUCAGAGUGAUUGUACAAUAUAAAGCGUGUAACGUGGUGAUUUCACAUCACUAUAUUACUAUGCCGUAUGGCUUAUUGCAAUGGGUUCUACUUUAUUUUGGAUUGUAAAUUAUAUACAUACAUGUAUGUAUCCGUAAUACUGUUUCUAAUGAUACGGUAUAAUGCGAUGUGUGUAAUAUUACAUUUCUUAAUUAUUUAUUAAUUAUUACAAUUCUGCACGAUUACUUAGUAAUAUAUGUCUAUGAUGAUGUAGUAUGAGGAGUGUAAAGUGAUCUAUUAAAUCACUGUCCAUGUGUCUGUCACUACAUGUACAUGUAUGUAAUGAUGUGAUCGUGAGCGUCAAUGCAUUAUUUUUCUUUUCUUUCAAUGUUAUUUGUGAAGUAUAUUUCUUAACUUUUCAUAUUUGGAGGAAAUAAAGAAAGAAAUAUUUGUACAAUUUCUU